CUCAAUUACCGGGACAUCCCAUAAAAUUAGAACAAUACAGAGAAGAUUAACAUGGCUCCUGCGCAAGGAUGACAUGCACAACUCAAGACUAUGACACAUGCAU